rnacentral:rRNA from 1 species
UAGGGAAUCUUCGGCAAUGGACGAAAGUCUGACCGAGCAACGCCGCGUGAGUGAAGAAGGUUUUCGGAUCGUAAAACUCUGUUGUUAGAGAAGAACAAGGACGUUAGUAACUGAACGUCCCCUGACGGUAUCUAACCAGAAAGCCACGGCUAACUACGUGCCAGCAGCCGCGGUAAUACGUAGGUGGCAAGCGUUGUCCGGAUUUAUUGGGCGUAAAGCGAGCGCAGGCGGUUUCUUAAGUCUGAUGUGAAAGCCCACGGCUCAACCGGGGAGGGUCAUUGGAAACUGGGAGACUUGAGUGGAGAAGAGGAGAAUGGAAUUCCAUGUGUAGCGGUGAAAUGCGUAGAUAUAUGGAGGAACACCAGUGGCGAAGGCGGCUCUCUGGUCUGUAACUGACGCUGAGGCUCGAAAGCGUGGGGAGCAAACAGG